UAUUGCUGUUGUGAUUUAAACUGAAACCCCUUGGUGUCCUUUUUGCACUCUGAGAUCAAACAAACCUCUCACGACUACCACUUGUGUUAGUGAAUCGUGACAGCACUGCCUCAUCCAAACAGUAUGGAAACAACCUGCCAGGCUUGGCAUAAAGAUGUGCUUGGUGAAAUACCCCUGGGGUGAAGGAAAAGCUGUGAUCACUUUUGUCUGUCUGCAAACGCUAAAGAAGGAUAAAAGAGCCCCCUGGGGCAAGGAUCAGCUGACUGUCAUCUCCAGCUGGGCAGGAAUUGCGCAUUCAUUCUGACUUCCAUCAACUGUCACAUAGCACAGAGGGACAGACAGACAGAGACAGGCUCUCAUCAGCCUCAGCUGGGAGGUAACAGAGUCCACCACAAGAUCGUUUUGUUCAGGACAGGAACCCUACAACUGCUGUCACACCAAAGCCCCUUGGUGGGUGCAGAGCUGCAGUGGGAGCUGAGGCUGGGGCCCAGUAUCCCUGGGCUAUCCCUGGGCUUUCCCCACCCAGUGGAUCACUGGACAAAACCAAUAAAUCACAAGCUCUUGCAGCUGGCACAGCUCUCUGCUGCCUGACACAACCUGUUUGUUGUAUUCAUUUUAAAUGCAGGAUUGCACAUGGCAGUUCAGGCAAUAGAUGAAGGGAGGCUCAGAAAGCCAAGGACUCCCUUGAAACACCAUUACCCAACCCAGUGGGCUUGAUGCUGCUUAUUUGGGGUGGGAAAGAACAAGGACAAGGGACAGGGCAUCCGUGGAAUCAAACUGGGGAUCAGUUUGUUCUGAUGUCUUGGGCAGCACCUGGAUACCACUGCUACACAUCCCUUCCUGUUAGAAAGGGGCAACCCCUUCACUGAAUUUCAUCUACCAGAUUGUGUGAAUUAGACAUUUAAAAACUCUGGGUUGAGGAGAUGUAUUUUCCUGCAAGGAGUUCAAAGGAAAUAUUUCCUUUGCUCUUUUUUGUCUCUCUCGCUUCACUGCCAGGGACUGGGGUCAUGGUGAUGGGAUGGCCAGGAGGGAGGAGCACAGGGUCCGUCUUUUGAUCCUACUUGGGUUGUGUUCCCCAUUCCUACAGCUCUACUGGGCUAAUACAAAAUGCAUAACUAAGCUCUGUCAAUUAUUUGAAAAGUAAAAUAGCAAUUAGAGCGAAAUAAAAAGAGGGAUGAGAAGCCUUUGGCAUGUUAUCACUCUUCCUGUCAGGAGACGAUUAAGCAAAGCAAGCAGCAGCUGUGGGGAGCCACCAGCCAUCCUUCAGCAUGGGAUCAUUGUCACUCACUGCAGAUGCCAUCCCCUUCCUCUGCUGGGAUGUUCCAUUUAUUUCAAUUACUGGAGCUGAGGAAAUGUUUGCUUGUUCCUUUGGUUUUACAUGUCUCCUGUACCUGAAGUUUCUGGUACUUGUCUCAUCAUUAAUAUUUCUUACUGCAGUGUGUCUUCUCCAUCAGCGAAGGUCAUUCCCUAUCAGCUCACACACCUAGAGAGGCCUCAUCCAUCUUUCCAGGACAGUGUGAGAUUAAGCAUUGGGACUGGCAGUGUGACUUCAGAGAUCACUGACAGUUCUACCUGCAGCUCUGGGUUUCUGAACUUGAGAGAAAAAGUGAAAUUAUUUUUUUUAUUUGCUGCCCUGCGUUGCCUUGAAUGCAAAAUCUUGUCAGGGUGCUUGGACUGCAGAAUCACCAAGGAUGCCUUCCUACCUCCGUUUUUCCAUGUGUCUGAAUUGCCAUCAGGAAGAAGGUACAGAACUGCAAGUGUCUGAACUCUGUAUUUAUCACAGCUGUCCUCUGCACCCACCUGAUCAGCCAAAAAUUAUGAAAAGCAAGGCAAGUAGUGGGGGAAAUGUUCCUAAAAUUGUCAUUUGCUUUCUGCCCUGAUGGAGCUCAGUGUCAUCUUAAUGUCACAAAAGAAUAAUGGGUGGAAUAUGAUAAAUGAGGUGCCUAUUUCAAUGAGCUUACACACCCAGAAACAGAUGCUGUCCAUGCAUUUCUUAAAUGUGAUUUCAAAGAAUUGUAUUGCUCUUCCUCAGAAUUGACAAUUAAGUAAAUGCAGGAAAAGUAGAUAAAUCAAAAAGGCAGUGAUUGGGACAUAGCAUGACAUUUACUUUUUACAUUUCAUGCCUGACCAUUAUGUUUUUAUUCCAUCCUCUUUUGUCAUAUUUGAAUGUUUAAAGUAAUUUUAAUUCUGGCUGCAGCUUCCUGAUGAUUCCUGUCUAGUUUUUUUCCAUCCCCACCUUUUCCUAAGCCUGUUGAAACACCUUACUGCAGCCUUUGCCUCGUGUCUUUCCAAACUUUCUUGGCUGCUGAGUUGCCACCCAGAGAAAGGGGAAGUUCAAUUGUUAUAUAUACUGGUGGGUUACUUGUCCCAGAAUUACUUCAAUAACUAGCAGUGAUUUAUUUUUUUUUAAAGAAGAAAAAUUAUCUCCUGUGUUGUUUCAGUCAUAUGAAAGCAAAAGGAAAGAUAAAAUAGAAAGAGAAGGCAGUACUUCUUUUUGCUGAUGAUGCAUUUGAUGGAUGUCUCUCUGAGGACCUGAUUGAACUCAGUGUUAUACCCCCCAAAUGAAGAUAAAUCAUUGGUGAAGGGUGUGUGGAGUACAUGCCCAAAAUCAAUUAUGCUCACACGGAGAUCUAUUAAUCUAUUUCUUCCUGUUCAGUCUACCCAGCCUCUUUUAAAUGGCUUUUUAUCAUUCCAAACACAGGUUACCUUUUUUAAGUGGUGCUACAGUUCUGGUGGUUUGCAUUAAAAUCAGAGUUGGGCCUUGCAUGUGAAGAACCCGUUCACCCCUUCCCUUUGCUCAGCCCAAUUACCUUAAUUCCGUUUUAAACCAUUUCUCCCAACAAGAUCUCUGAGUCACAGGGACCCUGACCCUUUCUGCAGAGCCUUGGUGGGGUUUGUUACCUUUCCUUGUUGGGAGCACAACAGCCUGGCAAAGAUUCCUGUGUGAAAAAACAAAGUCAUGCAAGUAUAAGGAGGUACAGUUGAAAACACUGUAAUGAAAAAGAGAUAUCCAGGAAAUUGUGUCUACUGAAUGGUAUUUCAGGGAAAUCCAGUGGGGCUCAGAGCCAGAAUGUAUCAGAUGCUCUCUCCAUUCCCAGGGAAAGACAAUCUGAUCACAGUCUAUGCCUCUCACUGAGCAAGAUGAAGGUGACAGAGCAAGCAUUGAAGGGAAUCUAUGUAACACUUGGGAAUUCAAAAUUUCAUCAUUUUGUCAGUUUUUAAAUUGUGACAUCACCUUAUGUUUCUCAACCAGAAUCAUGGUAAGCAGCUAACUACAGCUCGCUGCUUUCCAUCUAAUACUUCAUCAUGUUAACAGUGUAAAAGGCUGUUGAUCAGGCAGGUCAGCAAAGCAUUCUGAAUAAAUCCCAUAUCCUAGCCCAGAUAAUUUUCAUUCUGUCAGUGAAUGCCUGGCAUUAGAAUGAACCGCUAGUUCUGAAAUAUUGGCUGCUAACAUAAAGAAAUUCCAGCACAGGAUGGAAGCACUGGUUGGAUUUGAUGAUCCUAAGGGUCUUUCACAACCUAAGUUAUUCUAAAUGAAUCCAUGAAAUGAGUGGUGUCCAUGCACUGUUUUUAUGAGGCCAAAAGCAUUGCCAUGAUUCAGUGUAGGGAACAGUAGCACUCUGAUGACACAAAAAGCAGUAUCUUGGGUGAUUUUUGUGGCUGUACUUGUAAGUUCAAGGAGCUGUGCACUAAAGCCUCUAAAUCCCACAUGAACAUAUUGCCUGAGAGAAUCCCCUGAAAGACAGGAGGCACUCAGGCAUCUUUGCACUUAAGAUUCCAUGUUUUGCUCCAGGGCUGGAUUUCCAACUUGUAGUUGGAAGAAGAAGCUCUUCAGGGACAGAAUUCUCUGUCUUUAGAAGCAGUGUCUAUGUUAAGCAGCCCCAAGAAAGGAGAAAAUCACCUUAAUUUUAAAAGCUAGUGCUUUACAACUCUGCAGCAGCUCUCUAGAGAAUAUCAAAAAGAUCUGAGAAGCAGCAGCAUGGAGAGUGCAUCCAGCCCUGUGGCACUCCAGAGCUGUGGCCCUUAGGAAUUCUGCUGACAUGUACCUUGUAGUUGUACUUGUAAAAUGAGGAACCCUCCCAGAUGCCUCUCCUCUGCAGAAGUGAAUUAACAUCCUGUCAUAGACCCUUUUCAGUUAUCUCAGCCCUGGGCUUGAGUGCAAAGUUCCUGUCAAUAAAGCCUGAUAAACAAAUGCAAUACCUGGAGUGUUUAAAAACACGGCAUCGGUUUUGUGGCUGUGAAUUUCAUUAACUUUCUAAGCAGAAUUGGACUUUUGCUGGUAAUUCAUUCAAAGCAAGUAGCCAGUGUGUAAAUCCUUAGUUCUGUGGUAAAGCCUGUGCAUGCAAAAUUAAACUGGAUGAAAUCUAGA